GAUGAACGCUGGCGGCGUGCCUAAUACAUGCAAGUCGAGCGAACAGACGAGGAGCUUGCUCCUCUGACGUUAGCGGCGGACGGGUGAGUAACACGUGGAUUACCUACCUAUAAGACUGGGAUAACUUCGGGAAACCGGAGCUAAUACCGGAUAAUAUAUUGAACCGCAUGGUUCAAUAGUGAAAGACGGUUUUGCUGUCACUUAUAGAUGGAUCCGCGCCGCAUUAGUUAGUUGGUAAGGUAACGGCUUACCAAGGCAACGAUGCGUAGCCGACCUGAGAGGGUGAACGGCCACACUGGAACUGAGACACGGUCCAGACUCCUACGGGAGGCAGCAGUAGGGAAUCUUGCGAAAUGGGCGAAAGACUGACGGAGCAACGCCGCGUGAGUGAUGAAGGUCUUCGGAUCGUAAAACUCUGUUAUUAGGGAAGAACAAAUGUGUAAGUAACUAUGCACGUCUUGACGGUACCUAAUCAGAAAGCCACGGCUAACUACGUG
rnacentral:rRNA from 1 species